CCUACGGGUGGCAGCAGUGGGGAAUAUUGGGCAAUGGAGGCAACUCUGACCCAGCAAUGCCGCGUGAAUGAAGAAGGUCUUCGGAUUGUAAAGUUCUUUAAUCAGGGACGAAAAAGAUAACGGUACCUGAGGAAUACGCCACUGCCCACUAUGUGCCAGCAGCCGCGGUAAUACAUGGGGGGCAAGCGUUGUCCGGAAUUACUGGGCGUAAAGGGAGCGUAGGCGGUCUGUUAAGUUGGAAGUGAAAUCCCGGGGCUCAACCCCGGAACUGCUUUCAAGACUGACGGACUUGAGUGUAGGAGGGGUAAGCGGAAUUCCUGGUGUAGCGGUGGAAUGCGUAGAUAUUAGGAGGAACACCAGUGGCGAAGGCGGCUUACUGGAUUAUAACUGACGCUGAGGCUCGAAAGCGUGGGUAGCAAACAGGAUUAGAUACCCCGGUAGUC
rnacentral:rRNA from 1 species